GGGGAAUAUUGCGCAAUGGGGGGAACCCUGACGCAGCGACGCCGCGUGAGCGAAGAAGGUUUUCGGAUUGUAAACCUCUGUCCUCGGGGACGAUAAUGACGGUACCCGAGGAGGAAGCUCCGGCUAACUACGUGCCAGCAGCCGCGGUAAUACGUAGGGAGCAAGCGUUGUCCGGAUUUACUGGGUGUAAAGGGUGCGUAGGCGGCAGUGCAAGUCAGGUGUGAAAACUAUGGGCUUAACCCAUAGAUUGCACUUGAAACUGUGUUGCUUGAGUGAAGUAGAGGCAAGCGGAAUUCCCGGUGUAGCGGUGAAAUGCGUAGAGAUCGGGAGGAACACCAGUGGCGAAGGCGGCUUGCUGGGCUUUAACUGACGCUGAGGCACGAAAGCGUGGGUAGCAAACA
rnacentral:rRNA from 1 species